rnacentral:rRNA from 1 species
GACAGAGGAUGCAAGCGUUAUCCGGAAUGAUUGGGCGUAAAGCGUCUGUAGGUGGCUUUUUAAGUCCGCCGUCAAAUCCCAGGGCUCAACCCUGGACAGGCGGUGGAAACUACCAAACUAGAGUAUGGUAGGGGUAGAGGGAAUUUCCAGUGGAGCGGUGAAAUGCGUAGAUAUUGGAAAGACCACCGAUGGCGAAGGCACUCUACUGGGCCAUUACUGACACUGAGAGACGAAAAGCUAGGGGGAGCAAAUGGGG